rnacentral:rRNA from 1 species
AACGAACGCUGGCGGCAGGCUGAACACAUGCAAGUCGAGCGCCCCGCAAGGGGAGCGGCAGACGGGUGAGUAACGCGUGGGAAUCUACCCAGCUCUACGGAACAACUCCGGGAAACUGGAGCUAAUACCGUAUACGUCCUUCGGGAGAAAGAUUUAUCGGAGUUGGAUGAGCCCGCGUUGGAUUAGCUAGUUGGUGGGGUAAUGGCCUACCAAGGCGUCGAUCCAUAGCUGGUCUGAGAGGAUGAUCAGCCACACUGGGACUGAGACACGGCCCAGACUCCUACGGGAGGCAGCAGUGGGGAAUAUUGGACAAUGGGCGAAAGCCUGAUCCAGCCAUGCCGCGUGAGUGAUGAAGGCCCUAGGGUUGUAAAGCUCUUUCACCGGUGAAGAUAAUGACGGUAACCGGAGAAGAAGCCCCGGCUAACUUCGUGCCAGCCGCCGCAGUAAAAC